rnacentral:sRNA from 1 species
GUCGUAUCGGUUCGAUCGGGAUACUCAUCAAAUAAUACAGAAAACCGAGAAGACAUCUUCUAUUAAUGGCGGGCCACAUAAACUCCUAAGGAACUAAGCUGCAAAGCCGGUGGAUUACAAAGAUAGGGGAGCUCUCAAAACAUAUAUGCUCGGAGUUUUCAUCACAUCAUCGGUACGACCAUUUU